rnacentral:rRNA from 1 species
AACGAACGCUGGCGGCAUGCCUAACACAUGCAAGUCGAACGAAGGCUUCGGCCUUAGUGGCGCACGGGUGCGUAACGCGUGGGAAUCUGCCCUUUGGUUCGGAAUAACAGCUGGAAACGGCUGCUAAUACCGGAUGAUGACGAAAGUCCAAAGAUUUAUCGCCAGAGGAUGAGCCCGCGUUGGAUUAGGUAGUUGGUGGGGUAAAGGCCUACCAAGCCGACGAUCCAUAGCUGGUCUGAGAGGAUGAUCAGCCACACUGGGACUGAGACACGGCCCAGACUCCUACGGGAGGCAGCAGUGGGGAAUAUUGGACAAUGGGCGCAAGCCUGAUCCAGCAAUGCCGCGUGAGUGAUGAAGGCCCUAGGGUUGUAAAGCGCUUGUACCCGGGAAGAUAAUGACUGUACCGGGAGAAUAAGCCCCGGCUAACUCCGUG